rnacentral:rRNA from 1 species
CCUACGGGUGGCAGCAGUGGGGGAUAUUGGACAAUGGGCGGAACCCUGAUCCAGCGACGCCGCGUGAGUGAAGAAGUAUUUCGGUAUGUAAAGCUCUGUCAGCAGGGAAGAAAGAAAUGACGGUACCUGUCCAAGAAGCCCCGGCUAACUACGUGCCAGCAGCCGCGGUAAUCCGUAGGGGGCAAGCGUUAUCCGGAUUUACUGGGUGUAAAGGGAGCGUAGACGGUUAAGUAAGUCGGGAGUGAAAGGCCGGGGCCCAACCCCGGGACUGCUGUGGAAACUAUUGAACUUGAGGUGAGGAGAGGUAAGCGGAAUGCCUAGUGUAGCGGUGAAAUGCGUAGAUAUUAGGAGGAACACCAGUGGCGAAGGCGGCUUACUGGACCGUAACUGACGUUGAGGCUCGAAAGCGUGGGGAGCAAACAGGAUUAGAUACCCUAGUAGUC